rnacentral:rRNA from 1 species
AUUGAACGCUGGCGGCAGGCCUAACACAUGCAAGUCGAGCGAGCGGCGGACGGGUGAGUAUUGUCUGGGAAACUGCCUGAUGGAGGGGGAUAACUACUGGAAACGGUAUCUAAUACCGCAUACCCUCAGAUGUGCCCAGAUGGGUUUCGCUAGUAGGUGGGGUAACGGCUCACCUAGGCGACGAUCCCUAGCUGGUCUGAGAGGAUGACCAGCAAAACUGGAACUGAGACACGAUCCAGACUCCUACGGGAGGCAGCAGUGGGGAAUAUUGCACAAUGGGCGCAAGCCUGAUGCAGCCAUGCCGCGUGUGUGAAGAAGGCCUUCGGGUUGUAAAGCACUUUAAGCGGGGAGGCGUUACCCGCAGAAGAAGCACCGGCGAACUCCGUGCCAGCAGCCGCGGUAAUUC